rnacentral:lncRNA from 10 species
GUGCGCAGUUCCCGUGCCCUAGGAGUUGGCGGCGGGGCCCAGCCGAGGUAUAAGUUCCACAGCUUCACCCUUGUCGGUGUGAUAUGGGCGUGAAAGAAGACAUAAAACAGGCUUCCCGAGUAGAACCUGCCACCCCGGGCUGGUGGGGACGCGGCACCAGGCCGGGCCGGGGGAAGCCGCUCGGACAGUGGUCCUUGGUGAAGCAGAGUUGCCAGCCAUCUAUGGAUCCUAACUAAAUUGGUCCUUGUAAUACUCGGUAUUAUUUGCCAAGAUAUUGAAAAACCUCUAAACAGUGAGAAGGAAGAAGACAAAGAUGACUGCAAUUACUGCUUCCAUUCCACAUUGUACUAGAAGUCUGGCCAGCGAUUUAAGGUAAGAAAGAGAAACAAAAGGCAGCUAUAUUGAAAGAGAAGAAGUAACACUGACUUACUUCAAAGGCAACAUAAUUAUUUAUCUAGAAAAUCAGAUGAAAUUUGAUCUAGUAAAAACACUACUAUAACUAAGAACCUGUUGGCCAGUAUACAAGAUACUAUCUCAGUAUACAAAAUUAAUUUUGCUUCUGUGUAGUAGAAACAAUCAGAGACUAAAAUAAAAGGUAUAGUUUAUAAUAGGAUAAAAAUAUGAAACCUUUAGGAAUAAAUUUGACAAAAUUAUGCAAAACCUGUACAUUGAAAACUACUAAUGGCGUCCAGGAAAUGCUACCCCCAAAUAUGGCAUCUUGUCACUUCAGAAAGUAAUAAAACCUAGGAGGAUCACUCUCUGACCUUCUCCAGCUCUUCUCCCCUGAAGCAAGUCAUAAGGUCUUCAUUCAAGAGGAAAGAAAAAUCCUUACUCUGAAGACACGGAAACACAGAGAAGACUGAACAAACUGGCCUUUCUAAGUUCCCCCAAGUUUAUUACUAUUAGAUCACACCCUCAUUGUCCAAUAAUAUUUCUCCUCUGCUAUCCACUUCUUCAUCAAACUUAGCAUAAAAUCCUCUUUCUUUGAUUCUUCAUUUCUGAAAGCUCCUAUGUUAUAUAAAACUUAUAUUAAGUAAAUUUGUAUGCUUUUACCUUCUUAAUGUGUCUUUUGUUUUAAGGGCCUUAGCCAUGAACCUAGUGAUGGGUGAGGAAAAGCUGUUUCUUUUUGCCCAUCCUACAAACUAUUCCUGAGAGAAAUUUAAAAGGACUUAACUAAGUAGAGAUACAUGCCUUAUUCAUGUGUUGGAAGACUCAAUAUUUCUAACAUGUCAGUUGUCCAAAUAAUGGAAUUCAAAUAAAAAUUUCAGUAGGUUAUUUUGUAAAAAUUGGCAACCAGACUUUAAAAUUCAUAUGGAAAUGUAAGGGACCUAGAUUAGCCAAAACAAAACCAAAGUUGAAAACAAGAAUGAAGAUGGUGAACUAACACUACUUGAUUUCAAAUUAUUAUAAAGCUAUAGUAAUCACGGCAGUAUUAUAUUGCAUAAAUAUAGAGAAACAGAUCAGAAUAGGGAGCUCAGAAAUAGACUCACAAAUAUAUGAACAAGUGAUUUUUGAUGAAGGCACAAGAGCAAUUCAGUGGAGAAAAGUCUUUUCAAGAAAUAAUGUGUAGAAAAAUUGGCUAGCCAUAUGCCAACAAAAAAGAAGAAUGAAAAAGAAAAAAAAAUGACUUUGAUUCAUACCUUGCAUACUUUGCACCAUAUACAGAUAUUAACUCAAAAUAGAUUCUGGACCUAAAUGUAAAACUUCAAACUUAGGAGAAAAUCUCUGAAGUCUCUGUGACCUUGGGUUAGGUAGAGUUCUUAGAUAUAGCACCAAAAGCUUGAUUUAUGAAACAACAAAUUGAUAAGUUGAACUUCAUUAACAUUAAAAAGUUCUGCUCUUAAAAAACAAUAUAAAGAAAAGAAGAAAGCAAGCCACGUACUGGAAGAAAGUAUUUCUAACUCACAUAUCUGAUGAAAGACUUGUAUCCCUAAUAUAUAUAAACAGUCUCAAAACUCAAUAAUAAAAAACUCAAACAACAAAAUUAAAAUAUGGGCCGGGCGCAGUGGCUUACACCUGUAAUCCCAGCACUUUUGGAGGCUGAGGCAGGCAGAUCACUUGAGGUCAGGAGUUCGAGACCAGCCUGGCCAACAAGGUGAAACCCUGUGUCUACCAAAACUACAAAAAUUAGCCAGGCGUGGUGGCGGGCACCUGUAAUCCCAGCUACUCAGGAGGCUGCGGCAGGAGAAUUGCUUGAACCCGGGAGGCAGAGGUGCAGAUCACACCACUGCACUCCAGCCUGGGCAACAAGAGCGAGACUGUCUCAAAAAAAAAAAAAAAGUGCACAAAAGAUUUGAACAAACAUCCCACAAAGGAUAUAAAAAUGACAAAUAAGCAUAGGAAAAGAUGCUCAACACCAUUGUUAAUUAGGGAAAUGCAAAUUAAAUCCACAAUGAAUACUUAGAACCAGUUCCUGAGAUGGAGAUUUGCAUACAAGAACUUUAUUGGGGAGCACUCUCAGGAACUGCACCAGUAGGGAAGUGAGGAAGCAGAAAUGGGUGGAGAGAGUAGUUGAACUCUGGUACGGUUGCAACACACUUAUUAGAAUAGCCAAAAUUUUUAAAAAAUUGACAACACCAAGUGUUUGGGAGGAUGUGGAGAAACUGGAGCUCUCAGAUACUCUUAGUGGUAUUAUCAAAAGGCACAAUCCAUUUGCUAAGCAGUUUGGCAGUCUCUUGGAAAUUUAAACAUACUCCUGUCUACUAGCCUCUUAGAAACUUAUAGAAGCUAUUUUAUGGCGAAAACGAGGAAACAAAUGUCCAUUAAUAGUGAAGGAUAGGCAAAUUUGUGCAUAUCCAUACAAUGGAAUAUUACCCAGCUGUGAAAAAUUAUGAACUAGUGAUAAAUGCAAAUACAUGAACAAAUCUCAAAUUAAUACUGAUUGAAAGAAGCCAGAGACGAAAAAGUACAUACUGUAUGAUUGUAUUUAUAUAAAACUCAAGAAAAUGCAAACUAAUCUAUAGUGAGAAAAAGCAGAUCAGUGGUUGCCUCGUAAGAGAAAUGGGAGAAAGUGUUGAGGGAGAGGAAGGAGAGAUUACAACGGGACUCAAGGACAAGUUUCAUGUUUGCAGAUGAUGGAUAUGUUUACUGUCUUGACAUGUAUACAUAUAUCAAAACUUCUCAAAUUGCAUACUUUAGAUUUGUGCAGUUUAUCAUCUGUCUUUUAUACUUCAGUAAAGACGAAAAGAAAAAAAAAA